ensembl:processed_transcript 3632454L22Rik RIKEN cDNA 3632454L22 gene
AGUGGGUUCAAUUUCCGGCUGCAUCCAACUUCGUUGUGAAAAUCCUAGCCCUUCAGGGUAGCUUACCCUGAUAUAACAGCCCUGACUUGGGUCUCCGUCUCCUCUCAUUUCUUCCAUCUUUGUCAUGGGGAUGGGAUACAUGGCCAGAGCUGCCCUCAGCAGUCAGUAACAGCCCUCAUCCUUAAAACGAAGACAAGUUUUGGAAAUGGUGGCUCCAGUGUCUGCAUAGAUGACGGAAGCCUACCUCCUUCCUCUACAUCCAGCAAGGCUAGCACCAGCUCCUUGCUGUUCCUAUCAUCUCAUCAUGCCUUCUUCAGUACCCAUACUUGCUGAAUUGAGUUCUAGGCCUUAGGCAAGACCAAAGAGGAAAAGGAAAUCAACUUCUUCCUAGUUGAUAAAGACUGGAGGAAAAGCAACUGUUAAAACUGUGUUCAUAUGACCACACAUAGGAACUGUCAAGGAAGAUACCAAAGGACGAACUCUUCUUAAGGUAAAAGACAACAUAAAGCUGGCGGUGCUCUUUGGGGAGGUUUCAAAAGUCUGAGAAGGUGGAGCUGAGCUAAGGAAGUUCGUCACUGGAGGCAGGUCUUGAGGGUUAGUUAUAGCCUGGACCUGCUUCCAGUUUCAUCUCUGCUUCCUGGCCUAAGCUAUGCAUCAACAAGCUGCAACAAGCUCCCGCUGCCAAGGAUGGAGUCCUCGCUACCAGGGAUGGAGCCCCCGCUUCCAAGGAUGGAGCCCCCGCUUCCAUGGAUGGAACCCCCGCUUCCGUGGAUGGAACCCCCACUGCCGUGGAUGGAGCCCCUGCUUUCAAGGAUGGAGCCCCCGCUGCCAAACCUUCCCUCCCAAGAUCAACCGUAUCUCCUCAAACUGUAAGCCAAACUAAACCUUUCCUCCCUUGAGUUGUUUCUGUUAGAUUUUCUCUCACAGUGAGGAGAAAAGUAAUAUGGAUGCUUAGCCCAUUUCUAAUAUUGUGUCACCGUCAUUUAUGAUUUAAACAUGGACUGGUUCUUUAGUAUUGGCAGAAAGUAGAAAGCUUGUAAUUUUUAGUCCCCAUCACAUAGGUAGGAGCUUAGGAAAAAUCCCACAUUCUCCUGGUGCUCUCUAACUAAGACCCGACAGGGAGAAAAGAUCUUCUGAGACUUUGCAGCUCUAUGGGUGCCUUCACAGAUACAUUUCAGACAGCUUCCAUAACUGUUCUUUGAGUCUAAAGCCCCAUGGUUGGUAACAACAGAGCUACUGCGAUGUUUCUAUUUAUAAAAGGUAAAUGUUCAAUUUUUCAAUUCCAAGAGACUUUCUUUGUGAGACCCAAUUAACCAAGAUCUGUUAGGCUAACAGAAAGUAAAUGACUCUUCAGAAGGCUGCGGACUUCAUCUAUGUAAAAUGUAAAUUUCCAGGAAAGUCUCCAUGGCACCUUGAGAGCUUAACCGAGGUAUCAUCUCAAAUUGUAAUCACUUGCUUAAAGAGGGGCUGAGAAGUUCUAUUAUUCCUUUGUGUUGAUUCGAUGAACUAAAACAACGACCUCAAUUUGCAAAUGAAUUUAGGAUGAGCUGAAAUGGGAAAAAAAAGGAGUGCUAUUCUCUUAUAAGAGAAACAAGAUACAAUAAAAUCUGAAAGACAUGUUUUGUACUGGUUCAGAACUGCUGUCUAAUGUGUGCCAAAUGUCCUACUUUAUAUUAGAUAAAAAUUAGAGGAGGCCAUUGUUUUGGAUUCUAAGCUCCUGCAUGAAGCCCUGACAGAGCAUAAUAAAUAUCAAAAUAUUGUUACUUAUACUGAAGCAAGUUAUCUGACCUUCCAAAAAUGAGAGAUGAUAGUGCAGUUUCUCAAACAGGCCAGUUACAGUAGGCAUGAUAAUGAAGCUCUCCCUGUUCCCAAUGUUUCAUCCCCAAAGUAACCUGAAGUAACCUAAAGUUAACCAAUCAGUGUACUUUCUUUGGUUCUCUCUCUAUAUAUAUUGUCUGCCAAAGGACCUUGGAACAGCUAACCCAGUCUGUUAUUUAUGUAUGUUUCCUUCAGUUUCUGUUUACCAACCUUCUACUAACUUCAUUGAAGCAUUUAUUUGCUUCAUGAAACGAAGCAUUGCCUGAUUCAAGAACCACAAACCCACUCCAAAACCUUUAAGAUAAAUUUGCUGUAUUCUGCCAUUUGACAGCAGUCUCAUUCAGAUUGCCUAUGCACAAAUAACUUGAGUAUGCUUAAUAAAUAAUCAAACACAAUAAUUUUCUAGGCUUUAAGAGAAUAUUCUGUGCCAGAAUUUUUAUCUCUUGAAUAGGUUGGAUACCUAUAGAUAUGGAACAGAAUAAAUAAUGUUAGAAAUCAAAAGUCCAGGCAAUGUAUAAUAAUAUCUGCUUGUCAAGACUUGGAAGCAACUUGAAACAUGAAUUCAUAUGCAAGCCAAAUCCCAGGUAAAAC